UUGAACGCUGGCGGCAUGCUAACACAUGCAAGUCGAACGGCAGCACAGUAGAGCUUGCUCUAUGGGUGGCGAGUGGCGGACGGGUGAGUAAUGCAUCGGGAUCUACCCAAACGUGGGGGAUAACGUAGGGAAGCUUACGCUAAUACCGCAUACGUCCUAUGGGAGAAAGCGGGGGAUCGCAAGACCUCGCGCGGUUGGACGAACCGAUGUGCGAUUAGCUAGUUGGUAGGGUAAUGGCCUACCAAGGCGACGAUCGCUAGCUGGUCUGAGAGGAUGAUCAGCCACACUGGAACUGAGACACGGUCCAGACUCCUACGGGAGGCAGCAGUGGGGAAUAUUGGACAAUGGGCGCAAGCCUGAUCCAGCAAUGCCGCGUGUGUGAAGAAGGCCUUCGGGUUGUAAAGCACUUUUAUCAGGAGCGAAAUGCCAUUGGUUAAUACCCGGUGGAGCUGACGGUACACUGAGGAAUAAGCACCGGCUAACUUCGUGCCAGCAGCCGCGGUAAUACGAAGGGUGCAAGCGUUAAUCGGAAUUACUGGCGUAAAGCGUGCGUAGGCGGUGACUUAAGUCUGUUGUGAAAUCCCCGGGCUCAACCUGGGAAUGGCAAUGGAUACUGGGUCGCUAGAGUGUGAUAGAGGAUGGUGGAAUUCCCGGUGUAGCGGUGAAAUGCGUAGAGAUCGGGAGGAACAUCAGUGGCGAAGGCGGCCAUCUGGAUCAACACUGACGCUGAGGCACGAAAGCGUGGGGAGCAAACAGGAUUAGAUACCCUGGUAGUCCACGCCCUAAACGAUGCGAACUGGAUGUUGGUCUCAACUCGGAGAUCAGUGUCGAAGCUAACGCGUUAAGUUCGCCGCCUGGGGAGUACGGUCGCAAGACUGAAACUCAAAGGAAUUGACGGGGGCCCGCACAAGCGGUGGAGUAUGUGGUUUAAUUCGAUGCAACGCGAAGAACCUUACCUGGCCUUGACAUGUCUGGAAUCCUGCAGAGAUGCGGGAGUGCCUUCGGGAAUCAGAAACACAGGUGCUGCAUGGCUGUCGUCAGCUCGUGUCGUGAGAUGUUGGGUUAAGUCCCGCAACGAGCGCAACCCUUGUCCUUAGUUGCCAGCACGUAAUGGUGGGAACUCUAAGGAGACUGCCGGUGACAAACCGGAGGAAGGUGGGGAUGACGUCAGUCAUCAUGGCCCUUACGGCCAGGGCUACACACGUACUACAAUGGUCGGUACAGAGGGUUGCAAUACGCGAGGUGGAGCCAAUCCCAGAAAGCCGAUCCCAGUCCGGAUCGAAGUCUGCAACUCGACUUCGUGAAGUCGGAAUCGCUAGUAAUCGCAGAUCAGCUAUGCUGCGGUGAAUACGUUCCCGGGCCUUGUACACACCGCCCGUCACACCAUGGGAGUGAGUUGCUCCAGAAGCCGUUAGUCUAACCGCAAGGGGGACGAUGACCACGGAGUGGUUCAUGACUGGGGUG
rnacentral:rRNA from 1 species